CCUANGGGUGGCUGCAGUAGGGAAUAUUGGUUAAUGGGCGAAAGCCUGACCCAGCAACGCCGCGUGUGCGAUGAAGGCCUUCGGGUCGUAAAGCACUUUUUAGUGGGAUGAGGAAGGACAGUACCACUAGAAUAAGUCUCGGCUAACUACGUGCCAGCAGCCGCGGUAACACGUAGGAGACAAGCGUUAUCCGGAUUUACUGGGUGUAAAGCGCGUGUAGGCGGCUCUGUAAGUUGGAUGUGAAAGCUCCUGGCUUAACUGGGAGAGGUUGUUCAAGACUGCAGGGCUUGAGGGUAACAGAGGGGAGUGGAAUUCCGAGUGUAGCGGUAAAAUGCAUAGAUAUUCGGAAGAACACCAGUGGCGAAAGCGGCUCUCUGGGUUACAUCUGACGCUCAGACGCGAAAGCUAGGGGAGCAAACGGGAUUAGAUACCCUGNUANUC
rnacentral:rRNA from 1 species